UAAAGAUUCAUCGCUGAUAGAUAGGCAUGCGUUCCAUUAGGCAGUUGGCGGGGUAACGGCCCACCAAACCGACGAUGGAUAGGGGUUCUGAGAGGAAGGUCCCCCACAUUGGUACUGAGACACGGACCAAACUCGUACGGGAGGCAGCAGUGAGGAAUAUUGGUCAAUGGGCGUAAGCCUGAACCAGCCAAGUCGCGUGAGGGAUGAAGGUUCUAUGGAUCGUAAACCUCUUUUAUAAGGGAAUAAAGUGCGGGACGUGACCCGUUUUGUAUGUACCUUAUGAAUAAGGAUCGGCUAACUCCGUGCCAGCAGCCGCGGUAAUACGGAGGAUCCGAGCGUUAUCCGGAUUUAUUGGGUUUAAAGGGUGCGUAGGCGGCCUUUUAAGUCAGCGGUGAAAGUCUGUGGCUCAACCAUAGAAUUGCCGUUGAAACUGGGAGGCUUGAGUAUGUUUGAGGCAGGCGGAAUGCGUGGUGUAGCGGUGAAAUGCUUAGAUAUCACGCAGAACCCCGAUUGCGAAGGCAGCCUGCCAAGCCAUGACUGACGCUGAUGCACGAAAGCGUGGGGAUCA
rnacentral:rRNA from 1 species